rnacentral:rRNA from 1 species
CGCCUCCUGAUAGGAGGUCCAGCCUGCCCAGUGAAAUUCAACGGCCGCGGUAUACUGACCGUGCAAAGGUAGCGCAAUCACUUGUUCUCUAAAUGGGGACCCGUAUGAAUGGCAUCACGAGGAUUUAACUGUCUCCCCCCUCUAAUCCGUGAAACUAAUCUCCCUGUGAAAAAGCAGGAAUAAUUGCAUAAGACGAGAAGACCCUAUGGAACUUUAAACAAAUAAUAUUUGCACACUAAUUAAGAGUUUUCGGUUGGGGUGACCGCGGAGAAGAACACAUCCUCCGCGAUGAAAAACCACAAGCCACAGCUUUAAAAAUCAGAAUACUGACAUUAUUGACCCAAACUUUUGAUCAACGAACCAAGCUACCCUAGGGAUAACAGCGCAAUCUACUUUGAGAGCACAUAUCGACAAGUAGGCUUACGACCUCGAUGUUGGAUCAGGGUCCCCUGGUGGUGCAGCCGCUACAAAAGGUUCGUUUGUUCAACGAUUAAAACCCU